ensembl:lncRNA
GGACAGGGUGUGCUGCUAGCACAGAUUGACAGGACAGGGUGUGCUGCUAGCAUGGUGAGACAGUGAGACAGGACAGGGUGUGCUGCUAGCGUGGUGAGACAGUGAGACAGGGUGUGCUACUAUAAGGUGACCAGACGUCCCCGGUUUCAGGGGACAGUCCCCGUUUUUGGUGGCCUGUCCCCGGCUGGAGCUGUCCCCGGAAAUGUCCCCGGUUUUCACUGUGACCAACAACAGACCCGGGAUACAAAUAAAAAAAAGAAAGAAAGAAAACAAUGACCAAACGUUUAGUUGCGUAGCCUACACGCCUCGGGCUCAAGCAAGCCAGCCAGCAGCCAGGGGGACAAGCUCUAGCUCAGAGCUCAAAGAUGUUCUAGAAUGCCCGUCUUUGCAGUAUUUUGAUUGGUGGAAUAUGCAGCGCGGUAGAAUCUUUGCCCUUAGCUUCUAUUUCUUUUUAUUCAGAGAGAGAUCGCGUCUAUUCAUUCAUUCAUUCAGCCAGCUAGCUCUGGCAAAUCGAGUACAAGACAAGAUAGCUUUGGGAUAGGCGAUUAGCGAACAGUGUUUAUUGUAAGUGUCAUUGUUUA